CUGAACCUCUCAAAGUGCUGGAGAGACAGCGAGAACCUGCCGGGAGGAGCCGCGGCGGGGUCCUGGAAUCGCUGUGGACCUGUGUUCCCCAACGUCCGUUGCUGGGCUGGCGGACUCCGGGAGCCGGUCUCCACCCUAGGCGGACUUCGGAAUUGAUCCUGGACUGCCGGGCGCCGCACCGGGCUCCGCAUCGGUCGCUUUUCCGCGGGGCCGGAGCCCCAACAGCUCUGCAAGCGAGAAUGCACGCGCUGCCCAGCCUGGACGCGCCCGGGACGGAGCGGCUUCUGCCCCGGGGAUUGGACGCGGCGGUGCCAGCCCGCAGGAGCGCGGUGGAGAGACUGGCAGCUGACCGCGCCAAGUACGUCCGGGGCUUGCCGCGGACAGCCGAUGACCCCGCUUCUGAGGGCAGCAGCCCUGGGGCGGGCGAAGGGCCGGUGGUCGACCUUCGGCCUCCGGCUCGCACUCCGGGUGCCGUGGCGCGCAGGGCAAUAGCGCGGAAGCCGCUGAGGCCCGACUCGCUGGUCAUAUACCGGCAGAAGUGCGAGUUCGUGCGUGGGCCGAGCACCGACAGCUUCGGGGGCGGCCUGGUGAAAAAGUUCUUGCCCGGGUCAGGCAAGGAGAAGACGUCGGCGUCCUCCGAGAAGUCCCGGGUGGGAGGAGAGGCCACGGCCAAGGGGGAGGAGGCGGCUCCAACCAACCCUGGUCCCGCAGCAACCCCCGGUUCCCCCGCGCGCCCCUGCGUCCGGGCAGCGACCAUGGCGCCCCCAGCGUGUCCCAGCGUCUCCGCAGUGCUCACAGCGACCCCAGCGCGUCCCAGCGUCUCCGCAGUGCUCACAGCGACCCCCUCGCCCCCAGCGCGUCCCAGCGUCCCGGCAGCGACCCCGGCGCCCCCCGCGCGUCCCAGCGUCUCCGCAGUGCUCACAGCGACCCCCUCGCCCCCAGCGCGUCCCAGCGUCCCGGCAGCGACCCAGGCGCCCCCCGCGCGUCCCAGCGUCUCCGCAGUGCUCACAGCGACCCCCUCGCCCCCAGCGCGUCCCAGUGUCCCGGCAGCGACCCCGGCGCCCCCAGCGCGUUCCAGCGUCCCUGAAGAGACCCCCGGGCUCCCAGCGCGCUACAGGAGCCCCGCCACACCCGGCAGCCCAGAGCCGCGAGUGACCAGGCGCAGGGGGCUGCAGCGCUCGCAGUCAGACCUCACCUCUCGCUACUCCAUGUCCGCGGCGGAAUUCGACAGCUUCUUUCAGUUCUGUGGUCUGGAGCCGGAGGUGGUGGAAGCGCUGGGGAGGGAGAACUUCUCCUCGGGCUCCGACCGCCUCACCUUAAAGGUUCGCAGCGUGAGCAUGGCCACCUCCGACAGCGGCUUCUCCCGGCAUAGCGGCAGCGACGAGGGGCUGCAGGAGGAGGAGCUGAUGGAGCAGGUGCCCAGCACCACCUCGGUCAUCGAAAGGAACGCCCGCAUCAUCAAGUGGCUGUACACCUGUAAAAAGGCCAAGGAGACCCUGGGGCCGCGGCUGCAGGGCCCAGCGUGACCGCUCCACCCAGAGGUCGGGACCCAAAGGACCGAGCCUUCCCACUAGCGAGGCCCCUGAAGCAUGUCUGGCGUGAUUGGAGACCCCAGGGCCAUGCUCCCUGCCUCGGGCUUUGUCCAGUGCACCCUGGUGACCACAAGGAACCCUCUGCAGGAGCUGGAGUACCUUCAGAAAGUCCGGAGCUGACAAACCAGGAAUUAACUGGGUGACUGCAGCCGCCACCCAGCCGAAGCUCCAGGAGGUGCUUCCUUGUUGGGGUGGCACCACCGGCCUCCAGAGGGCAGUGGACAAGGGACAGGGGAGCAGGGGGAGGGAUGUGUUUGGGGGCAUCGUUUUGACUGGUUUAUAGAGAGACACCACGAUGUAUUUUAACGGUAUCUAGAUGAAUUUUUAAAAGGAAAAAAAGGCGAAGAGCAUGAUGAGAACCAAGCCAUGGUAUUUACUGCCUCCAGUCAUCUCGGGCCAUUGGCACCAUCAAAUCGGAGUUUCUGGACCCAUGAGGCAGUCUCGUACUGGACACGUCCACACAUGCCCACCGACACUCCCAGCGUCACUGCCAUCAACCAGGCCCCGGGGUGACGCAGCACUUUCAAAAAUCACUGGAGAGCUGCCCGGUCUUCUGCUAAUGCCACUCCCACCGGGUGGCAGACUUUGCAAAACUGUGAAAAGAUGGGAGUUGAAGCUAAAAGUCCUCUUCUGGCACCUGCACAGUGUGUUGAGAGGCAGCAGAAGCACCGCCGGUGCCGUCAGCAGCAUCUGUCCGUUCACUGCCAUUUGGAAGCUUUGAGAAGGGGCGGGAACCCUGGCCCCGUGGCACCGGCCUGCCCCCCACGUGUGACCUGUCCCCUCCGAGGUGGAGCCAGGCACCCAGCCGGGGAAGGGCAUGUUGCAGGGGAGGGAGGCCUGGGCGCCGGACAGAGCAGAUGCUUGCAGAUGAGGGUCCCUGUGGCCCGACGGAACCGCGUGGGCACCCAGAGGGAGAUGACGGCCUUCAGGCCGGAGCCUUGGGCCCGAGUGUCUGUCGCUGUGGGCCACCCCAGAAAAACUCACCGCCGAGUCUUGCCAGACUCCGUGUUUCAUCAAAAUACAUCUCCUCAGGAACAAGUCUGUUAGAGGGAAGAGUAUGGUCAGGAGAGAAAUGCGUUUCUCAACGGUAGAAUACUGUUAAACCAAUUCAUUUUGUUAUAUUGGUGUAUGUUUUUAUGUUGAAUACUGUUUUUAUAACUUUUACUGUGAAAGUAGGUCUUUGAGUUACUUAAAUAUUUAUUUUCACACAGUUGUUAGUCUUCAAAUGGUUUUUAUUCACUUCAUAUAAUUUUAGUUUCACAGAAUAAUUUUAAGUCACUUUCUCCUUUCUCACUUUCUGUCCUUUCCUCCAGUUGUCUUCUUGUAUUUGUUGCUUAAUUGCCUUUUGGCCUUUGACUGACCAGAGCCCUCUGUGCUGGCCACGGCCUGCACCUCAGGAGGCCCUGCUGGCUGUCCCACGGGCCUUUCUCAGGGGGGACCCUGGAGGGACAGCCGGUUCUCUGCUCUAAGGUUUCACACACCACCACCACCACCACCCCCACCCCCCGCCGUCCGUCAUCCCUCUGAAAAUGCUGCUGUUCGCUGGGUUGCACUUAAUUAAAAAAGAUAAUGUCAAAAAUGAGAGGAACCUUUAAAGGGCCUUCUCCUGCCCCUAGUUUGUUUAUUCGCAUCCAUUUUGCAGGUGACUACUUUUAGUGAAAUUGCUGUGUGGCUUUCUACACUCUGAAUAGGAGGAACUGAAGCUGAAGUCAAAUUUAUCUUACGUCAAAAUGGGGCUGACUCACCACCCAUUUAAUAGAUGAAAAAAAUUUUUUAAGCAUUGGUUUAGUCACCAAGAUCUUCCAGAAGUGUCUGUGCCUGCGUGGGGCGUAGGCCAGGGAUGAGUCCCACGGAGGGGAUCCGUUGGAGGCCGGUGCAGGUCGGGCGGAGAGUGUGCCCGGGCGGAUCGGUGCUUCCCCGACCCUGAGGCGUCCCGGUUUGCGGAGCUACUGGAGACACUCGAGUUGUGCAGCUCGGGCUGAAUGAAGAAGCUCGUCAUCGCUUUUUUGAAAAGCGGCCCGGUGAGUAGCACAGUGGGAAGGAGAUGACGGUGGAAACGCGAGGAGCACGACCCGUUCCAAACCUUGGGCACCGCGCAGCAAGGCCCGGGGGAGCGUGGCCCGAGGGAGUCGCCCCGCUGCGCGCGCACAUGCGCAGUGUUCGCUUCCGUCCCGGGUGCGGGAAGAAAAAGACACUUUGCGAGAUGCUGCCCGGGCCGGCGGGCCAGCGCCCAGCGUGGAUGCAGUUUGUGAACUUGAACAGUGUGAAAACCAUCAGAGCAAGUGUCUGCCUACUGUGAUUUCUCCCACCUGUUGUCUUCUUCCUCCUCCGGAAGUCACGUCCCUGGAACAUCAGCGGAACGAGCGAGGCACCGCAGCAGUGAGUCACGUGAGUUUGUAGAAGUAAAAAUAAGCUGCAGACUGUUGCCUGAGAACUUACGUCUGAAAUCCAAAUCUUCAGGUAGGUGGAAAAUCCAUUCCUCCUCCAACGUCUCUUCCUGUCUGAUUAGCCAGCCAGCAGGACCUUUGAGCACAGAAACUCCCCCACGAUGCUGCUACUAGCUGGUUAGCCACACGAAACCAGAGCCGCCCUGGUUCCCUGGCCCACGGGCUUGUUUGGAAGACCCCACACUGAGCGGGUGUGCGGCCCCGAGCAGAGGCGGCGAAAAGGGGACAUUUCGGGCUCUGGGCGAGGCCCCAGCGGCACCGAAUCCCCAGGUCGGGAUCAGCGUCUGCAGGCACCUGAGGGGUCACAUGCGGUUUGUGCUCAGGAGUCUCUCCUGUGCUGACAUGCGUCACACGCGGGGACAGAAGCGCAGACUGAAACUUGGGGCCCAGAGGAAGGCAGAGCUGUGACGACGGCAUUGCCACAAGGCCCACCCUGGGGUGCGGAAGCCUGAGAGCUGGACGCGAGAAGCAGCCGUCCCAGGGCACACGGCGGUCCCCACGGCGUGUGGCCGUGUCCUGGGCGGGGCUCGCCUUCUCUCUCCCUGGUGUCGAGGAGCAAGGUCAGCAUCUGCUGAGGAAAUGGCAGAGAACCUGCAUUUCAGAAAACCUCUGUGUUAAAGAGAGUUGGUAGCAGUCAGCCCGUGUUCUUUCUGCUCAGGGUCCACUCGACAGAGCCACACGGGUCAGAGAACAUCCGUGAGGUGACGUGGCGGGGCUUCCGGCCACCUGUCCACACCCCUCAGUGCGCAGGCAGGGCCUGCCGCUCCUCCGGCCGCACCCAGGGCACCUCCCUGUCCCGCCCUCUCUCUGCUGGUUUUCGUCAUUGGAGCCAUCACAGAAGCAUCGGUUAGGACUCGGUCAGUAACUGAAUGAAAACUCCAAACCUCAGAGCAAAAACAUGUAUAUUUACUGUCCAGAACAACAAAAUGCUGCAACUGCUCAUUAAAAAAGCCACAGAAAAAUGCAGGUGCAAUUCUCAGAAACCUAGUUCCUGGUCAGAGCACAGCUCAGGCCCCUCGUGGUCCAUGGCUGUGCCCCCCGAGGGAGUCUUACUCGCCCCUGCUCUCUCGGGAGCUCUUUCCCCGCCCAAAGUUCCAUCUUCUCCUCGAGAGACCAAAUACCUGCCAGCUCUAGUGCAGGGCGAGCUCCACCUGUGCCCUCAUUCAAACUCUUGUGUCCCCAAGUCCCUCGGUCCAUCGGCCACCCCCACCGUCAGUGUCUGCAGCCCCUUCCUCUGUCCACGUGUUCCCGCGGCAUCAGCACCAUGAAAGGGGCCGCUGGGCCCACCCCUCUCUGUGACAGCAACAGGGCGGGGCGGGGGGAG